CUGUUCUUGAUGUUCUCUCAUGUGGUGACGAGGUAAAGUUAUCAUCUUUGUAUAUCACAAUUUUCUAGGAUAAACACUUUUCAUCCUUUUUGUUGUUCCAUGUUCCUAAAAUUUGUUCGUUGCAAGGGAAAGAGCCAUUCUUGCACUGCUCUAAACACAUCACAAGUAGGUAGGUUAGGUUAUUUAUGUGAAGUUGUCUUGCUAUAUAUGUUGUGGAACCAAGGUGUCUAUUGACCAAAUGAAGAAUGAUAUAUCUAUCUGCAUAUUUUUCUUUUUAGAUGAAUUUGACUAACUAUGCCUACUCUUUCAGCUUAAAGUGUAUUUGAGAACCCAUGCACUUGACCAAAUGGUUCAAGCAGUAGCUGCUUCAUUUGGCAUUAGAAUGAUUACCAAGUUUUGCUACGAACUUAUGCUGCUACUAUAACCUUUUUGUAGGUAAAUUUGAAGCCUAAGGUGCCAACAAAGGUAGUUUGUGCUGAACAUCUUGAGUUACAGAACGAGAUACUCACACAGAAAAGUAGAGAUGCACAAUAGUUUUAGCUUUUCAGGGAUUGUUCUUGUUGGGUUCAGCUUUCGCCGGCAUGUUGUUAUUACAGAGUUACCGUAUCUCUUUGAAUCGUCAUAUGUACUCCAAACUCUUAUAGAUUAUGCAACUAGCUAAUGGUUGGAACUUUUACUCAGCUUUAUUAUAGGUGGCACAAAGUCAUGUUAGUUGCCAUUUUAUUGCUACAGAUAUGUUCUUGUUCUGACUGUUUAUGUGAUGAUUAUAUCCAUGUGUAUGUAGCACAACCUCAUGUUUACACGUGGCUUGAAAUCGGCUGUACUUUUUUUGCUUUUGUUACAAGAUAUAUCAUCAAUUUCUUGUCUGGAUGUACUUUUAUUAGUUUGCUUCUAACUGCAUCUUAAUAUGUACUCGGUAGGCUCUACAGGAUUCGAUGAUGGAUGUGUGAAUGUGAGCAAUCAGGAUAUAAAUUUCUUCCAACAGCAAGGCAUGCUGAUUAGAUUCAGGAAUAUGUUCUUGCGUCUCAGCUUUGCAGCUUCACGUUGUAGGACUAAUAUUUGGUACCUGACAUGAGAUUGAGAAAUACCAUGCUUUAAUUAAUUAGUACAUACCUUGUGCAGGGCACAUAAAAUAUAUCUGAUAUCGCUUUUUUGUUAUUUAUAUUUUUAUCUUUUCUACCCUAAUUCAGUAGCACCAUUUCUUGAUGUUAUUUCUCUAUAGGAUUGUUGCUUCCACUAUAGCUUUUCCCCUCUGAAAUGAAUUUGAAUUAGGUCACUUUAGUGUCAAGGUAAAAAUUUCUUUGUUCUCGGGAAGAGCCAGUAUCCUAGGUGAUCGUUAAAUAUUAUUAAUAAUUACCAAUUAAUAAUUAUGUGCUUGACUGUUUGUUGAUGACCAAUAAUUAUGUAUUUCACUUAUAAGUAACUAUCUAAUUUGCAUGUUCCAUUUUAUUUCAGAUGUAACACAUUCUUUAUAUGUAUUAUGAUGGAUUUUAGAUAUGCUCACUUGAUAUCAUUUUUUCUCUUGACUCUAAAACAGGUAUGUACAAGCUAUUUAAGAGGGCCAAGAAGGCGGAAUAGCCUCGCUUAUACAGUUUCUGACUGCUAACAGUGCCAUCAUCAAUGAGCUUCACUCUAAAGUCUGUUCAUGGGAGGGUUGGGCUUCCUUCAAUGCUAGGGAUGAAAUUGGAGAAUAAACAAGGGGUUGACAUGCUUGUGAAGUUCUAUUAGGUAUGCUUCUCUCUCUCCCGAAAUCUUUCGGUUCCUGAAGCACAAACCCUGUCAGUUUGUCCAUACGUAGAUUUUUUUCCUUCUUGUUGGUGCACUAUUCUCGGGUUUUUAGACCAUUUGAGAGGGCCAAGAAGGCGGAAUAGCCUCGCUUAUACAGUUUCUGACUGCUAACAGUGCCAUCAUCAAUGAGCUUCACUCUAAAGUCUGUUCAUGGGAGGGUUGGGCUUCCUUCAAUGCUAGGGCUGAAAUUGGAGAAUAAUUAAACAAGGGGUUGACAUGCUUGUGAAGUUCUAUUAGGUAUGCUUCUCUGUCUCCCCAAAUCUUUCGGUUCCUGAAGCACAAACCCUGUCAGUUUGUCCAUAUGUAGAUUUUUUCCCUUCUUGUUGGUGCACUAUUCUCGGGUUUUUUGUGUGUUUCUUUCUUGCGGCCAGCUUGACCAUUUACUCUGGAAGGAGUUAUUCAACUAAAAAAGAGCGAACAAGUUGAGAUUCUUUUGUCUUGUCUAUAUCGUUCCUACAAUGUUGUUUGGGUUGAUUUUCUUGCUUUUUUGUAGUUUGUGGAGAGAGUUAAGUAGUAGGGUAGCCUUUCUAUGGUGGCGAUCGCAUGCUGUGCAGCCGAGUGUAGUUAAUUUGGUGGUUCAUGUUACAAGAAAAAUCAUUGCUCUGUUUGUAGGUUUCAGGUUCCUUUUGUUGUGAGGUGCUCCAUGGCCCUUUGCUUGGAUGCUCUGUGGUGAGGCAACAGAGAUAAUUAGCAGUCUUGUAUACUAACCAAGAGAACAUCCAUUUCAUGAUUUUGGGUAUUGGGUUCUCUUUGCUAAACCAGCUGCAGCUAGAUGAGAGAAGUAGUAAGUAAUAUCAGGUGCAUAAUUUCUAUCAGUCUGUGUAUUCUAAUGACUACCGAUAUCCCCUUUCCUGUAGUGUGGCACUGAAUCAAUAGUCAUUUUUGCACAAUCAUGUGUCAUGUUCCUUUAUGAAUCAUAUAAUAUCAAGAGACAACUUAUGGAACUGUUCAGAUUUUUAUGGCAGCCCUAACUUCGCUAGGUAAUAACUUUAUUUGGUCUUUAUCCAACUGGUUUUUAUCAUAUCAAAUUACUGCAGAGCGUACUGAUUUUUUUGUCACCGAGCAACGGUGCCUUUCAGUUCAACUAGCAGUUUAAACCUCCGAAGGUUUAAGGUGAACAAUGAGAUAUUUUUGGGUUUGUUUGAACUGUUGUGUCUGUCCACUUGAGUGCCUCCAUAUGUGGUUCUCCUGUUGCAUUAGUUAUAUUAUUAUUUUUGAUCAUCUUGCCCAAAACUAAAGUUUCACUACAUGAAAAAUGACUACUUUAUUUUAUACCAUGUUAUCCUCUUUCUCUUCCCCACAGGACAGCGUCUCCCCGUGUUCUCGAUCCGGCGCCGCCACAUAUCAUGAUUCUGGAUUGGGCGCAGGUCAUCGCCAUAAGAGAGCCUGGCUGGUGUGGUCUUCAUGCUUGGUGUGGAGAAGCACGGGGGAUGAGUAGGACGGGCAUGGGGAAGGAGCAGCUAGGCCGGAGCUCCGGCGUUGUUCGCGUCAUGGUCGAAUGGAGCCGGCCAUCACUAUGGGCUGCUGCUCGCCGGUCGUCGUUUAUCCAAUCUCAGUUGCUCAUCUUUGGCUUCACCAUCUUCCUCCCCUGAUCAUGCAUCUAUUUUAGAUCAUAUAAUUAUGCUAUAUCAUAUAUGUUGUUUAGUUCAGACUUGUGCAUGUGCAUGCAUUGGCAUUGAUUUAGACAGAGAUAUUGCAUGAUUUGUACAUAGAAGGAGUACGGAUGAUCUAGGAAUAAAUGUUUGAAUAAAGUUAGUAGUGAGAUUUAGAUAGAGGUUACCUGCACUGUUCUGUUUUAUGUAGAUUCUAAGCUGCAAAAUCAUACAUUGUCCUGUUAGUAAUUUGUUUGAGUUGUGAGUUUACGCAUUUUCCCUUGGAAUGUUUGUAUGUGUGAUCACUGGCUUUUAGGUUCCCAGUGGUAUAUCAUGAGAAGUUUUUUACUCUGCACCGGGUGAUCAACUACAUAUUUAGACGAAUACACUAUUCAGGACCAGGAACAUUAAGAUUUCUAAUGUUGUUUUCCUCUUUCAAGAUUGCAGUUUUCAUAAGCCUUAGAUAGCUAAGGUACACAUAGUUUUCAUUUAAC
rnacentral:lncRNA from 1 species